rnacentral:rRNA from 1 species
GACGAACGCUGGCGGCGUGCCUAAUACAUGCAAGUAGAACGCUGAAGAGAGGAGCUUGCUCUUCUUGGAUGAGUUGCGAACGGGUGAGUAACGCGUAGGUAACCUGCCUUGUAGCGGGGGAUAACUAUUGGAAACGAUAGCUAAUACCGCAUAACAAUGGAUGACACAUGUCAUUUAUUUGAAAGGGGCAAUUGCUCCACUACAAGAUGGACCUGUGUUGUAUUAGCUAGUAGGUGAGGUAAUGGCUCACCUAGGCGACGAUACAUAGCCGACCUGAGAGGGUGAUCGGCCACACUGGGAAUGAGACACGGCCCAGACUCCUACGGGAGGCAGCAGUAGGGAAUCUUCGGCAAUGGGGGCAACCCUGACCGAGCAACGCCGCGUGAGUGAAGAAGGUUUUCGGAUCGUAAAGCUCUGUUGUAAGUCAAGAACGGGUGUGAGAGUGGAAAGUUCACACUGCGACGGUAGCUUACCAGAAAGGGACGGCUAACUACGUG